GAUGAACGCUAGCGGCAGGCCUAAUACAUGCAAGCCGAACGGCAAGUUUGAUAGUAAUAUUGGACCUAGAGUGGCGCAAGGGUGCGUAACACGUAUGCAACCUGCCCGCGACCGGAGGAUAGCUCCCCGAAAGGGGAAUUAACCCUCCAUAACAGCAUGAGACGGCAUCUGAUUAUGGUUAAAGCGCAAGGGGUCGCGGAUGGGCAUGCGGCUGAUUAGCUAGUUGGCGGGGUAAAGGCCCACCAAGGCGGUGAUUGUUAGGUGUUCAGGGACGAAGGGCCCCCACAUCGGACCUGGGAUACUGGCCAGACUCCUACGGGAGGAAGCAGUAGGGAGUAAUGGACAAUGGUUGCAACACUGAGCCAGCCAGGCCGCGUGCAGGACGAAGGCCUUCUGGGUCGUAAACUUCUUUUUCCUGUGGAUAAAAUACCCGUGCGCGGGAAAUUGAAGAUAACAGGUGAAUAAGCCACGGCUAACUACGUG
rnacentral:rRNA from 1 species